rnacentral:lncRNA from 1 species
CCCCGAUCUUGUUUUUCUUAAAUAGUAAAAAGGUGCUGUCUAGUUAGGGGCUGAAAUCAAAUAAAGGGCAGGUCAAAUAUUUUUUAGUUUUACUCUAAAUGGGUUGUAAACCUCAGAAUCUGGGAAGAGUUGUAUCAGGCAGACUGUAAUUUCUCACUUUUGCCCCUUAGAAUAAUUCAGCACAAUUUUAUGAAAAACCCGUGGCUCUCUGAUAAUUAGGAGAAAAGAGCUCCUAAUUUCCGUGGUGAGAUUCACAGGAAGUUGUGAGGAAAUGUGUAAGGAGGUCCUGCCUCCUUCCCCGAGGUUCACAUUAUGGAGCAACAGUAUAACAUCUACACUGAGACGCUGCCGUGGGUACAAGCCAUAGACGUGUCCCAAGUUCACCAUCAGAUAUGCACUCAUUCGUGGACCUCCGGGUGCUCUCCGGGGCCGCCUGUUCUGAAUGAGGCAGCUGUGAGCAUUCACGUUCAAGCUCCCAGGUGAAAAUGUCUUCAUUUCUCUGCGACGAAUGUCCAAGACUACAGUCGUGGGCUCGUGGGGGAAGCCCACGUGUACUUUGGGAAGAACCGCAGCUGCUCUCCAGAGGGGCGUCUGGAAAAGCCGUUGAUGUGAAAUAAUCCUGUUCUUCUGUUGUCAUCCCUUUAAAACAUCUUUGUUUGUCUCCUGCUUAAAAAGUCAUUCCCAUCCAAGAGGUAACAGAAAUACAACUUUGAUGGAAUUCUGUUAUUUGUAACUUCCCUGCAAUUCCGUCUUCAUUUUUUAUUGCUCUGCGUACAGUUUUCUGGUGUUCCUUUUCCCAGCUGGUUUCCUACUCAUUAGGUCUCCACAUCACCUGGAAAACCAGGUGCCAGGACAGAAC